rnacentral:lncRNA from 1 species
UCUAUGUGUUUGUAGUGGAAGGAUCAUCUACAAUAGCUCAGUCCAAGAUCGUCCCAGAAGUCUUCAGUUCUCAAACAACUUUUGAGGGUCAAAGAAAAAAGAAUCACUGAAUGACUACCUUUGAAGGUGACUGAACAGCAUCAAAGAGAUGGGGGGAGAGAGAUGUGCUGGCAGAAAGACAGAGAGAGGACAGAGCAAGCUUCAAUGAUGGAGAUGAAGA